rnacentral:lncRNA from 1 species
CUGAACCUGACCUAUUUACCUCAACAAUAGUGUUUGCUUCAUCAUCUGUGAGCCUGCCAAAUAAAGAAAGAGCCAUAUUUGAGACAUUGAUCCAAUCAAUUCAAGAUGCUCGUCUCCUGGAAAAGAGUAGCCGGCAGCAGAGCAAAAGUACUGAGUGGAAGAAGGCCCGAACGUAUCGCCUGACUGCCUCCAACUUUGGGACUGUUGUUGCCCGUGAGAAAUGGACACCGAAAGGACUGCAGAACGUGACAAGUGACAAGGACCUGUCACGGGUGAGGGCUGUACAGUAUGGCAUCUCCAAUGAGCGACAGGCAGUACGGCGAUACGAGGCGGCACUUCGCACUG